rnacentral:tRNA from 1 species
GGGGGUAUAGCUCAGUGAUAGAGCCCAUGCUUAGCAUGCAUGAGGUCCUGGGUUCAAUCCCCAGUACCUCCA